rnacentral:rRNA from 1 species
UACGGGGGGGGCAAGCGUUGUUCGGAAUUACUGGGCGUAAAGGGCUCGUAAGCGGCCAACUAAGUCAGACGUGAAAUCCCCAGGCUCAACCUGGGAACUGCGUCUGAUACUGGAUGGCUUGAAUCCGGGAGAGGGAUGCAGAAUUCCAGGUGUAGCGGUGAAAUGCGUAGAUAUUCGCAAGAACACCAGUGGCGAAGGCGGCUCACUGGCCCGAUACUGACGCUGAGGCACGAAAGCGUGGGGAGCAAACAGG